rnacentral:rRNA from 1 species
UCAGGCCUAACACAUGCAAGUCGAGCGAUGAAGCACCUUCGGGUGUGGAUUAGCGGCGAACGGGUGAGGAACACGUGAGGAAUCUGCCUUCCACUCUGGGAUAACUCCGGGAAACCGGGGCUAAUACCGGAUACUUUCAACUGGCGGCAUCGCCGGUUGAAGAAAGUUUUUCGGUGGAAGAUGACCUCGCGGCCUAUCAGCUUGUUGGUGAGGUAAUGGCUCACCAAGGCGACGACGGGUAGCCGGCCUGAGAGGGCGGCCGGCCACACUGGGACUGAGACACGGCCCAGACUCCUACGGGAGGCAGCAGUGGGGAAUAUUGGGCAAUGGAGGAAACUCUGACCCAGCGACGCCGCGUGAGGGA